rnacentral:misc_RNA from 1 species
UGCAUGAAAGAUGACAGGAUUCUUGGUCACAUUCUUAAGCUCUAUCUACAUCACACUCAUACACAAACACACACAACAAAUAGAGCAGUUCUAGUACCAGCACUACCAAUAUGAUCAUAUGAAUUUUCAGUGACCUUCCUCCACGCUAACAUAUAUUUUGCAAGCUAAAUGAGAUGGGAAUAAACUGGAAUUAUUUUAGUUUCUGCAGAUCUAAACACUAUAAACAUUGCUUUGAUCUGCCAAUGCAUAUAGAAAGUUGGCCAACAACAGCAUAUCUAGUGGCUGGCUCUUCUCCUAAAUAGAAAUAUCAUUUAUUGUCUCACCAUACUCGCCCACAAUAAUG